rnacentral:rRNA from 1 species
UACAGGGGGGGCAAGCGUUGUUCGGAAUUACUGGGCGUAAAGGGUGCGCAGGCGGUCCUGCAAGUCAGGCGUGAAAUCCCCGGGCUUAACCUGGGAAUGGCACUUGAAACUACGGGACUGGAGUAUGGCAGAGGGAGGUGGAAUUCCACGUGUAGCGGUGAAAUGCGUAGAGAUGUGGAGGAACACCGAUGGCGAAGGCAGCCUCCUGGGCCAAUACUGACGCUCAUGCACGAAAGCGUGGGGAGCAAACAGG